rnacentral:lncRNA from 1 species
GGCCUGGCAUUUGUGAUAUAUUGUCAAAAGCUAAGUGUGAUAAAAGUGAGAUGUCACAUUCUAGAGUGACAUAACAUAGUGAGCAAAAACUAGAAUGGCGAAACAAAGUUUUCCCAACGUUGUAACCACCCACAAGACAACAUGGUCACAAAGUCAGCGGUCGAACGAGCAAACCACCAGCAACAACAUUGAACCCACUAACAUAGGAUAAAUGGAGCGUUCCACUGUCAAGGAGCUGCACCACUACCAGCCCCGAGCCAUCCACCACCCAACAUUAGGGUGGUCUUGCCCGUAGCGAGGUAAGAAUCCGUGACGAGGUGAGAAUGAUGGAGGGGAAAUUGCUGGAUCCAUUAGGGUGGUCUCACCUGUAUCAAGGUGAGAAUGACAAAAAGUAAGUACUUCUGAAUGUGAAUCCAACAUAAUUAAGUAUACCAGCAAGGGGUAAUUGUUGGUCAAAGCUCGCAUUGGCGAGGCGUAAUCUGCAAGGUAUUUCAGAACAGAGGGAGUAGUAAUGUUUCAUAACUUUCAAGCAGAAGAACCGUGGUCUGCUUUACAAGAAUGUUUUAUAUUCAGCUACUCCAGCGACAUAUAUUUCGGUAGAGAGGGAGUAUUUGUUAUCUUCUUGAGAGAAUAAAUCAUGAUACACGUGACAUCUUGAGCAAACACAUGAUUCAUUUUGCAGUACAUAUUUUUUCCGUUAUAUUUUGUAUCAGUCGAAUGUUCCGAGCUGUGUAGGCUAGGUAGUGUUACCCAAGGAUCAACUUACUAUUGAAACCAGACAGCACGCACCAGGUACAUGUACCCGAAAAUCGGCAUGUCGUCGGAGUUCAACCUAACUUGCGUGGCUUAGGUAGAAGUACCUGAAAUACUCAAAAAAUAAAACCGAUAAAAUGUGGUUCAAAGUUUUAAAUGGGGUAAAAUUGAUUAAAAUUGCUUAAAUGAGGUAACCCCUCUCAAAAAUGACAAAAGAUGGGAC